UACAAUAUCACAAAAGAGAUAAAUGCAUUGAAAUACCUAAAACUUCUAUGUGACGUUAUUCAUGGUAUUCAUCUGAGCCGAACGUCCGCAAAAUUUUAUAUCCGCCAUGAUGGGUGGCAUAAAGAUAUGUAAACAAAAGUAAAAAUGGUAAAAACCUGUUGCGCACCAUACUGUGAAACAGAAAAAUUAAAGGUAGCACAAUUCCUUUUCAUAGAUUUCCGAAAAAAGAAGAGCGAAGAAGGUUAUCGAUUGCUUUUUUAAAUAGAAAGAUUUUGCCGAAUUUGGAGUUUGCUUACAUUUGCGGUGAACAUUUUAUUACUGGAUCAGUAAAGUUAAUUUGUGAAAGUGGCAAAUAAGUAACUUCCUAAAGGUUUGGCGGCAACCAAGCACACAAUUGAGAUGUACAAGCAUCACCAUUAUUUCUUUUUCGAUUAUCAGAUGUUAACAUUAAAUAAAAUAAUGUUGCUCCAAUAUGAGAACAGACUUCGCCUAAACCUGCCAUACACGUGCAAUGUGCAUUUAUAAAUUGACCAUCUUCUUGAACGCUAACCCAUACCCUUGUUGUUUUAGAAACAAAUGCACUGACCAUGUCUUACACGACUGUUAACAAUAUAAAUAGACUUAACACCAUGAACUAACUUUACAUUGUGAACACGACCACUGGUUACAUAGUUGUAAGAUUCAAGACCUUUAUAAUAUUUUAAACUAGAACUUGUGAUUUGACUUCGAAAGUUGAUUAGAUAGCUGUAUAUAUCAGCAAAAGAUAGAUUAGGCUAUUUGUCUACGUUAUUA